rnacentral:rRNA from 1 species
AGCGAGGCUGUGAAGCGGAGCAAAUCUCAAAAACCGGUACCCAGUUCGGAUUGUAGGCUGCAACUCGCCUACAUGAAGUCGGAGUUGCUAGUAAUCGCGGAUCAGAAUGCCGCGGUGAAUGCGUUCCCGGGUCUUGUACACACCGCCCGUCACACCAUGGGAGUUUGUAACGCCCAAAGUCGGUGGCCUAACCUUUAUGGAGGGAGCCGCCUAAGGCGGGACAGAUGACUGGGGUGAAGUCGUAACAAGGUAUC